rnacentral:rRNA from 1 species
UACAGAGGUCUCAAGCGUUGUUCGGAUUCAUUGGGCGUAAAGGGUGUGUAGGUGGCGCCGAAAGUCGGGUGUGAAAUUUCGGAGCUUAACUCCGAAACUGCAUUCGAUACUGCGGUGCUUGAGGACUGGAGAGGAGACUGGAAUUCAUGGUGUAGCAGUGAAAUGCGUAGAGAUCAUGAGGAAGACCAGUGGCGAAGGCGGGUCUCUGGACAGUUCCUGACACUGAGACACGAAGGCCAGGGGAGCAAACGGG